CGGAGGAUCCAAGCGUUAUCCGGAUUUAUUGGGUUUAAAGGUGCGUAGGCGGCCUGUUAAGUCGGGGUGAAGACGGUAGCUCAACUAUCGCAGUGCCCUUGAUACUGAUGGGCUUGAAUGGACUAGAGGUAGGCGGAAUGAGACAAGUAGCGGUGAAAUGCAUAGAUAUGUCUCAGAACACCGAUUGCGAAGGCAGCUUACUAUGGUCCUAUUGACGCUGAGGACACGAAAGACGUGGGGAUCAAACAGGAUU
rnacentral:rRNA from 1 species